GUUAGUUUUCUCGUUUGAAUUGUUUUACAUUGUCUUAUCGGGGCCUUUUGUUGCUGACUAUGCGGUAUGGGCUUUGCUCAUUGUUGAAGGCCGUACGGUGACCUAUAGUUGUUAAUGUCUGUGUCAUUUUGGUCUCUUGUGGACAGUUGUCUCAUCGGCAAUCAUACCACAUUUUCUUUUUUACAUCAGCUUUUGUUCUACGGGAU
rnacentral:lncRNA from 1 species